AUUUUUGCAUGAAGUAGAGAGAUUAUAAAGACUGUGUACUUUUAGAUGGAAAAAUUAGACAAGUAAGGUAGUACUAUAUUUUUACUUACAUUUAAAAUGGAUACAAGGAAACAAAUGAUUUAUACCCCUCAAUUCUCUUAUAGAACACAAGAUACUAAACCAAAGCACUCAGAUUCAAUUAAAGUAUUAUACAUAGAUGAAUAAAAAACAAGCUACAAAGGUAAAAAGUUACAAGGUCUCUUAAUCUUUAUUCAAGGCACAGGAUCAUCACUUGGAAUUCCUACCACCCCACCCACAGGCAGGUUGAAUGUAGAGAGCAUUUAAUAAAUUUUGAUGGAACCAUCACAUCACACCAUGAUUCAGCUUAGAAAUGAAAACAAGCUAACCGGAAAAUGAAACUGAUUAUAUACAAGAGCAGCUGGAUUUGAGUUACAAAUACUGUAAAGAGGAAACCCAAACAAAACCCCAGAUAAUCAUGAAAAAUCUAAACACAACUUUUUUUAAAGUUACAUAUUUUUGGCCUCAUCUACCCAACAGUGUCUAAUUAUUCUUGACCACAAUAUUCACCAAUUAUAAGAAGCACCAUGAUUC